rnacentral:rRNA from 1 species
CCUACGGGGAGCAGCAGUGAGGAAUAUUGGUCAAUGGGAGGAAUCCUGAACCAGCCAUGCCGCGUGCAGGACGACGGCUCUACGAGUUGUAAACUGCUUUUGUACCGGGGUAAAAUGCUCUACGAGUAGGGUUUUGAAAGUACGGUACGAAUAAGGAUCGUCUAACUCCGUGCCAGCAGCCGCGGUAAUACGGAGGAUCCGAGCGUUAUCCGGAUUUAUUGGGUUUAAAGGGUGCGUAGGUGGUUUUAUAAGUUAGCGGUGAAAUACCGAUGCCCAACAUCGGGGCUGCCGCUAAUACUGUAGGACUAGAGAUCGGAUGCAGCAGGCGGAAUGUGUAGUGUAGCGGUGAAAUGCAUAGAUAUUACACAGAACACCGAUUGCGAAGGCAGCUUGCUAGGCCGGAUCUGACACUGAUGCACGAAAGCGUGGGGAUCGAACAGGAUUAGAUACCCGUGUAGUC